rnacentral:rRNA from 1 species
UACGGAGGGGACUAGCGUUGUUCGGAAUUACUGGGCGUAAAGCGCACGUAGGCGGAUUUGUAAGUCAGGGGUGAAAUCCCGGGGCUCAACCUCGGAACUGCCUUUGAUACUGCAAAUCUCGAGUCCGGAAGAGGUGAGUGGAAUUCCUAGUGUAGAGGUGAAAUUCGUAGAUAUCUGGAGGAACACCGGUGGCGAAGGCGGCAUCCUGGACCAAUUCUGACGCUCAGGAGCGAAAGCCAGGGGAGCAAGCGGG